AUUGAACGCUGGCGGCAUGCCUUACACAUGCAAGUCGAACGGUAACGGGCCUUCGGGUGCCGACGAGUGGCGAACGGGUGAGUAAUGUAUCGGAACGUACCUUUCAGUGGGGGAUAACGUAGCGAAAGUUACGCUAAUACCGCAUAUUCUGUGAGCAGGAAAGCAGGGGAUCGCAAGACCUUGCGCUGAUUGAGCGGCCGAUAUCAGAUUAGCUAGUUGGUGAGGUAAAGGCUCACCAAGGCGACGAUCUGUAGCGGGUCUGAGAGGAUGAUCCGCCACACUGGAACUGAGACACGGUCCAGACUCCUACGGGAGGCAGCAGUGGGGAAUUUUGGACAAUGGGGGCAACCCUGAUCCAGCCAUGCCGCGUGAGUGAAGAAGGCCUUCGGGUUGUAAAGCUCUUUCGGCCGGGAAGAAAUCGCAUGGGUUAAUACCCUGUGCGGAUGACGGUACCGGCAUAAGAAGCACCGGCUAACUACGUGCCAGCAGCCGCGGUAA
rnacentral:rRNA from 1 species